UGGGGAAUAUUGCACAAUGGGGGAAACCCUGAUGCAGCGACGCCGCGUGAACGAAGAAGGUAUUCGUAUCGUAAAGUUCUGUCCUAUGGGAAGAUAAUGACAGUACCAUAGAAGAAAGCUCCGGCUAAAUACGUGCCAGCAGCCGCGGUAAUACGUAUGGAGCGAGCGUUUUCCGGAAUUAUUGGGCGUAAAGGGUACGCAGGCGGUUUAAUAAGUCGAAUGUUAAAGAUCGGGGGUCAACCCCGCAAAGCAUUGGAAAAUGAUAAAAGUGAAGAGUGGAGAGGAAAGUGGAAUUCCUAGUGGAGUAGUGAAAUAAGUAGAUAAUAGGAGGAAGACCAGUAGCGAAGGCGACUUUCUGGAAACAAACUGACGCUGAGGUACGAAAGCGUGGGGAGCAAACAGG
rnacentral:rRNA from 1 species